AGCUCGCUUACCGACGGGAGCGGUGUACACCGUUUUACACCGUGUGCCCCCGAGAGAGGUUACCCAGCAUAGAGAGUAGGGAGUGCGCUGGGAGUUCUGUAGCAUCCUUUGCCCAGGGACGCACCAGUUCCUGGAGCUCUGGAAGUGGGUUGUAGGUCUUCUUCGGGUUUCAACGAAUCCAGGCUACACAUUGCCUAGAACGUCCUGGGUAUAGACAUCCCUUUUACUACGCCCGUUCUCGUGCACCCCACUACCGCUACUACCACCGACGGGUGCAAUACGAACCGAGCCAUCGCAGCAGCCCGUUUCGGGAGGUGUGGUCGUGAUGUGAAAUUUUUCCAGUAACCAGUCACGAGCGGGAGUUCGGUGCGUACAUUUCGUCAGUGUUGUGAAGCCGUGUCGGUAUCGGUAGUUCGUGUCCCGUGCCGUGGGAACAGAACCCUAGAAGCAUAACGUUUUGCCAAUCUGUAGUGCAGAUAAGGAUCAUGUGUUGCGAGAUAGUGUUGAACGAAUAAAGCGUAACCUGUCGGAAGGUGUGCGAAAGACACGUCAGUUUUGGAUGGAAAUUAGCAACAAAGUAAGCAAAAGUGUACAGAAGCAGAUUAGUUGCAUUGAACUUUUAGUCUGCAUGUGCAAAAUCAACUAGAAGAGAGAGCUAAAAAUCGACAAGAAAUACGUAAAAUUGGUCUUGUUUUACUAAGAGAUAAUCAAAAACAUAUGAAAAGCAAAAUUAAAGCAUUCGAAAACACAACAACCAUGUGUACAAUAAAAAUAUCUUCGGAAGAAUCCAAACAACAACAACAAAAAAGCACAUCAAAGAAAGACAGGUAGAAAGCAUACGCCGCCAAAAUAAAAAAAAGGAAAGGCCAACCCAAUCACGCGUACGUUUCUAUUUUCGGUACCGUUUAACAUGAAACAUAAGCUAAUUUUAGCGAAAACUCAUCGACUAUUCAGUGGCAAUUUUGGCGAUAGCGUCGAAAUGGGUGCUAUUUUUAACUUUUCUUAUAAGAAAAAGAUAUUCCCCUCCCGUCUCCUUUCCUCUGCACCGACCCGCGCCGUGGAAGAUUUUACUAUUAGACAGCACGAUGGAGACGCAUGGUAGGACGGUUUCCUUCCGGUCGCACGACCUCGUGGUUGCCAAAGCGAAACGCGUGGCCUUCGCUCACCUGACCGUGCGUGAAUAACGUAGAAGGAACGCUGAAGCAGAAUCGUGUGAGCAAGGGAAGCGAGAGCAUUAACGAUGUGUAAGAAAAUCAAAUUAAUAAUAACACACUUAAAUACAGCAACAGCAAGGCAUGACGCUGGAAAUGAACGUUCGAGAGAUCGGUGACCGGGAAGGGUAGGGAAGAGAGGAAAAAAAAACACAAAUCAACCAAUCGGUUAAACGUGGAUCUAUUUUUGGGGUUCGGUCACUUUGAGUGAUGCUUCGAAUCUUCAUGAUUGUGAUCACCUCAUCCACAAUCUAUUAGAAAAACUCCACCACAGGCAGGCACUAGUUCAAUCAUGACCGAAUGGCAACUGAAUAAUGAAACCAGUCCCGCUGAAAAGGUUGCGCUAGGCAGAAGAUUGUGACACAUUUUCAAAUUUUCGCAACAUUCCAGCAGUUGAGAAGACCUUCGAGCAUAUGUCGCACCGGACCGAAAUAGCGAACCAACGCGACAUAGUGUGGGUGCCGUGAAAAUCACUGCCAGAAAAGAUUUCGUCGCAUAACGGGUUUAGCGGUGACGGUCGCCAUGAAGAAUCGGUGAGAGGUACUGUGCCGAUGUGCCAGUGGAUCAGUGUUUUUGACAAAGUAGGACACACAACUGUGACGUCAUGUGGUGCUGUUUAGUGGUGAGGUGCUGUGGAAGUGCUUACGUGUGGCUGAACAUUCACUGAGGGGCAAGCAAACGUGGGCCCGCAUGGAAUUUUCAAGAAAUGGCUGCACCCUUCAGUCAGCUCACCGCCACUCAUCAUGGGAGCAACAGCUCGGAAAACCAUCGAAAGCGCCACUUCACUGGGAUGCGAAUGAGUCGCGUGCCGUGGUACUGUUUCACCCAGAUUUAUAAUCCUGAGGAUAAGAAGCCAGACCUGCACGUGCUGUGUAACUAAUUGAGGUAAAUUUAAAUGCUAUUUCCAACCAAUAUUGAAACAUCAUCGGUUAGAUGUGAAAAAGCUUUUCUGGCCCGUAAUGCGCUUCUUUCGUUACCGAUGGCAACCAAAAAUUCUUUAUCCCAAGCAAAGUUCAAAGCGCUUAAGCUUUUCUUGCUCUUUAAUCUUCCAACCUGCUGCGGAAUCCUUUCCAUAGCUUUGAGACCAAUUAAAUUGACGACUAAUCGAUCGGUUGUUCCGUUGCGUUCCGUUUGUGUACUGGAAGGAGUUUUGAUUUGUGAUUCAUUCCGUUGCUGCUGUCGAAUGCCUUUUGCUGUGCUAUUUCAAUGAAACUAAGGACGAAACGUUUGUCGUUUAACAUCAAAAGGAAAAAGGGAAUUUUCUAAAACUCACCCUUCCGUCGUUUCCAUCCGAGCCAGUUUCAUUAAGGGGCCAGGUAAUGCAGCAGAAAGGGAGAAUUAAUGUUUGAUUGCUUCUUAGGACUGCAAAAGCAAUAAGUCAGUUGUGGAUGUUUUUAAUUUGCCAACUGGCUUUCUAGUUUUUUUGUCCCGUUGGUAUGUUCCGCUUCCGCUUAGCAUCAGACUUGAGUAGUUCUCGAAACGUAAGGACGCUAUUCACCAUUACCAUCAAUUUCAUGGGGUGGAUUCAGGAUAAAAAAUGAGAAAAAUGAAAUAUCUUUUCAUCGACCUUUUACUUCAGGUGAAAAUCGUUUCACCGAGUGGGCUGCGUUAACGUACCAUUCGGUUUGGUCAAAGGUGGACUAUGAAACGAGCUACUUUUAUGCUAUCGUUUUUUGAUAAAUUAUCCUGCGCAUAAUUAAUGACCGUAAAUUCUUUUGCUCGGCUGUUGUUACGGUUUUGCGAUAUAAAUUAGUCGCGAUACUUCCAAGCCGAGAUAGAGGAUUUCUAUUUUUUUCUUCUUUCACAUCGUUAAUGGAUCCCACUCGAACAAGGGAAAGAGGGAGUUUUGGUAGAAAUUUACACCCACAAAAGCUUGAUUUGUUGCACAGUAGGAAAAUCGUAAUGAUUGCUUUCCGAACCGAGUACCGGGUGGUGUAGAAAAUCCAUCUCUUAGUGCGAGAUAACGAUACACUUUAGCAUUUCUCGUAAAACGUUCGCUUUUUUUGCCCAUGGGUUGGUAGGGUUUUAAGUACCGUAGAAAAUACCUUCCACCCUGUGAAAAACGAUGAGCGGAGAUGUAGCAUACAAAUAGUAUCGUCGUUAAAACCGGGUUUUUGUUGGUAAUAGAAAUACUCCCAUUUUAGGUCUUUCGCCAAUGUGAGAGCCCAUUUGAAAUUGGGGUUUUGUUCCAUUCCCAAAAAGUGCGUCGGCCAUGAAAAACAAAUGGCUUAGCGCUCAAAACCAAACAGACGAGCGUUACUUUCACUGUACAGAAUUUGCAGCUAAAAGCAAAAUAAGUGUGCAACAAUAAAAAUAAAACACUCCAGUAAAUCGUACUACCCGAGCGAGGGUCACAACGGAAAAUUGAAAGGAAACCCAUAAAAUUCGAUCGCUUUCGGCUAGCCGACCGUUAAAUGAAUCUAAUGAAAGGCCAAUAGAGCAAACAACAAAAAAAUACGCUCACUGCUAGAUUUUGAUGGCUCUAUUAAGGGUCAUCCAUUAUGGUGUGCAGUGGAAAAGUGAGAAGCAAAAAAAAACAUGAACGCAAACCUAAAAAUCUCAUGGGUGGAAAAUCAGCACAAAAUCAACAAAUGGUGUUGAUGUGAAUCGUUGCCACGCUGACGUAUAAUUAAGGAAGCUUACAUACCAAAUUCAGAAGGGAUUAGCACCAUUUGAUACUAAUAUUUGUAUGAUAUGAUUUUACUUUUUAUGCAAAUAAAUUUUUCUUCGCCUUCUAAAUUUGAACCAAAAUCCAGUUAUUUAAAAAAUCAAUCAAAACAUGGGAAAUAAAUCUCAAAACACCCCGUUAAUGAAUUGGACCAUUUAUUUGUAUUCAUGGCGUUGCUAAAACAAUUUGUCAGGAACGUUGCUGGUGCCGCAAUUGUGUGGUGGAUUCUCUUUCAAUUUUAAGCUCACAAAAAAUAUAUAUAUUUAAAUUCUCUUUCCAAAUUGCGGUACCCAUGCAUUGCGUGUGAUGCAUACAACCGUUCCGACUAACCGAGGCAAACGCACAUGCAACGGAAUUCUUAAAGCUUUAUUUAGUCAUCAAAACCCAACCCUCUCUCUUUCUCUCUCUUUCUCUCUCUUUGGAGCUGCUUGCCGAUGCCAUGUUGAGUCAAGUGGCAUUUGUCGAAGCAGUCGGGCGGAAAGAAAUACAGCUUCAAUUUUCUGAUUGCACAACCGCACUACACCGCAUCGCCAUUGCUAGCAAAUACCAACAUAUUUCUAUUCACCGAACACAACCUUCUCUGUGUUUGACUCGUUUUGCUGAUGACUACUGCAAGGGCUUCACAAAAUUUCGCCAAACGUUUGUUUUGUUUCACUCUUUAUUGGGAAAUCUUUUUGUUUUUUGUUUUUAAUUCGAAAGUAGUAAACCAGAGUAGGAGCGAAAAAUUGACUGAAAGGGAUAAAGAAAAGGAGAGAAAGAGAGAGAGAUAGAGAGAUAGAGAGAGCGAGAGAGAGAGAGAGAGAGAGAAAGCAAAUAUUUUUCACCAAAGGGAAAACUCUAGCAAAAGAGCUAGUUUCGUGUACAGUUCAAAAGGCAACGUCAUCUCGAAUCACCCAACGUAGGGUUCACACAAACACAUAAAUACCACAUACAUAUACACCAAAGUACGGAAAGGCACUUGCUGCAAACAGUCGCAAAUGGUCACACCGCAAAGGAUCGACCAACCCUUCCGUUUCACGUAUUGUGGGGCAGGAAAUCCCAAAGCAAUUAAACCGAGCCGAAAUCCGUUGAUGCGUGUGAGUAAACAUAGUCGAACGGUCCGGUUUGUUCCGGAAAGCUGACAGUCAUCGGCAGAAGCCAUCGCCAUUUCACCCCCCCGGGGGCCCAUCCCUCUCACACCCCUACACGGAUACUGUGCACAUUCAUUGUUGCGGUUAUGUUACCAUGCCAUGGAGCACAAAUGCAGUUCAUUUGUUUUUUUUGUUUGGUUUUGUUUUUUUCUGCUUGUUGUUGCAACUAUCCGUUUUGGUCGGAUGUCCUCGAAUGCAUACCGAACCGAAUCGGAGCAGAAAGCUGACAGACAAUCAUAGCCCAGCUACGGGAAAAAGGAUGUCCAUUUCUUUCCUUCCCAUUUCUGGUGGCAUUCAUUGGUUUUGCUUCAUUCCAACCCCCAUCAACCUUACCGUUACCACCAAUCGUCGAUGGCCAAGCGUUCCGAUUUCGCGCGUCCUUGCGUGGAACAAAGCAAUAAUAAUAAAGACUUUCAGCUUACCAGUACGAUCGUUUCCUGACUCGCUUCCUCAGGGAAAUUCGCGAAAAACCAUCCAACCCUGGAUUUUAUGGCACGUUAUGGCCGCUAGCAAUGGUGUGACAUUCGUUUUGUGUUGGUUUCUCGGUGUCCGGUGUUCGGUACUUUUGCAGAAAUGUUGCGUCCCGCAAUUCAACUUCAGGGGAGGUUUUUAAACUCGGGCGUUUGCAGUUGUGAGUUUAUUUCUUCAUUUUAACCUGCGUUUUGGAAACGGAUCCCUUGCGUAGCAUAAGUUUGCUAGCGAACGGCCAAGGAAAAUGGUUGCCUCAGUGCCUAAGCAAACACAGUCCGCUCAAUGGUUGUUGGCUUCGGAUUUCCGUUUAUCUUAGCGCACGGUGUGAAGUCAAUCCGAUUGAGCGACCAACGGUUGGGCCUUUUUGGCAAAGGAUUAUUUUGCUAACCCCUUAAGUUUGCACGAAACUUUACCCGGCCAGUCGAGUUGGGAAAAGUGAAGCGCUCCAUCAACAAUUCGAAACAGGGAAAUGCGUUUCAAACAAACAAACUAUCUCGCUGGUCCGAUCCAAAAACCCGGUCGGUCGUUAAAAUUUGUCUUGGAGAAAUCGGUUUUUACCAUGCCGAAGAAGCUCUGGAUAAGAUAAAGUCAUAUUUAGGCUAGAUGAACCUUCCAUCAACCUCGAGUUGCGUAUCCUCACUUCCUUACCAUUCAUUUCGAUGGUUCACUUUUCCCCCGGGGCGAGGCGUAGCGGACAAAGUUUUCCGGGCUAUCGUGCGGUGCUAUCCAAAUCCCAUCAAAACUUUUCGGACGAAGGUUUUAUUGACAGAUUAGAACAUUGGCGUAACAUUUACGGGAGCACUUUGCGUGCCCUAAUCUUCACCCGGUCGGUUGGAGUGUUUGAGCAUAAGCUGUAUAUCGGUUUAUGUUAUGAUUCGGAUGCCGAGGCGCUGCUUGACGGGAAGAUUGACGUCUUCGUCAAAGUAGCCUCGUUGCCAGUGCAGGGCUUGAAUGUUUCAUUAUUUUAUGGCCAAUCGGUAUUGAUGUUCUCGUCCGGUUCGUCUGUUGCAUGCGUUUCGAUUGUAUGCUAUAAAUUUAAAUUUUUAAUACAUUUUAAUCGAAUGCUUUCAAAACAUUUGUGUAAGUUAUAAUGUUAGACGGGAGAAUUAAUGGAAGGGAGUUUUUUUUUAUAAAUUGUUCAAUCAAGUCUUGAUAAAUAAUAGAGAACUUCAGGAACCUUGCAUAUGUUGGGCUUUAGUUAUGCGUAGUGUAAUUUACCUAAUUUCAAGCAUUAGGUAAGAAAGACAAGAUCUAAAAAGGACUAUACAACAGACUAUGAAAAGGACAAAAUUGAUACAAAUUUCACAAACUGUACAUAUGUUCAAGCUAAGUUAUUAACUCAAUUAAAAACGCAUGAUAAUACAAAAUCACAUUUUACUAAAAAUGGUAAUUAGAAGGAUUC